GGCUCUCUAGCCCAAUCGGUAGAGGCACCAGAUUUAGGUUCUGGUCAGUGAAGGUUCGAGUCCUUCGAGAGCUAC
rnacentral:tRNA from 1 species